rnacentral:rRNA from 1 species
AUUGAACGCUGGCGGCAGGCCUAACACAUGCAAGUCGAACGAGUGGCGGACGGGUGAGUAAUGUCUGGGAAACUGCCUGAUGGAGGGGGAUAACUACUGGAGCCGGUAGAUAAUACCGCAUACCAUCAGAUGUGCCCCGAUGGGAUUAGCUAGUUGGUGGGGUAAAGGCUCACCGAGGCGUCGAUCCCUAGCUGGUAUGAGAGGAUGACCAGCCACACUGGAACUGAGCCACGGUCCAGACUCUUACGGGAGGCAGCAGUGGGGAAUAUUGCACAAGGGGCGCAAGCCUGAUGCAGCCAUGCCGCGUGUAUGAAGAAGGCCUUCGGGUUGUAAAGUACUUUCAGCGGGGAGGCGUUACCCGCAGAAGAAGCACCGGCUAACUCCGUGCCAGCAGCCGCGGUAAUAC